rnacentral:rRNA from 1 species
UACGUAGGGUGCAAGCGUUAAUCGGAAUUACUGGGCGUAAAGCGUGCGCAGGCGGUUCGCUAAGACAGAUGUGAAAUCCCCCGGGCUUAACCUGGGAACUGCAUUUUGUGACUGGCGGGCUAGAGUAUGGCAGAGGGGGGGUAGAAUUCCACGUGUAGCAGUGAAAUGCGUAGAGAUGUGGAGGAAUACCGAUGGCGAAGGCA